AUACGUAGGUGGCAAGCGUUGUCCGGAUUUAUUGGGCGUAAAGCGAGCGCAGGCGGUUUCUUAAGUCUGAUGUGAAAGCCCCCGGCUCCACCGGGGAGGGUCAUUGGAAACUGGGAGACUUGAGUGCAGAAGAGGAGAGUGGAAUUCCAUGUGUAGCGGUGAAAUGCGUAGAUAUAUGGAGGAACACCAGUGGCGAAGGCGACUCUCUGGUCUGUAACUGACGCUGAGGCUCGAAAGCGUGGGGAGCAAACAGGAUUAGAUACCCUGGUAGUCCACGCCGUAAACGAUGAGUGCUAAGUGUUGGAGGGUUUCCGCCCUUCAGUGCUGCAGCUAACGCAUUAAGCACUCCGCCUGGGGAGUACGACCGCAAGGUUGAAACUCAAAGGAAUUGACGGGG
rnacentral:rRNA from 1 species